rnacentral:rRNA from 1 species
GACGAACGCUGGCGGCGUGCUUAACACAUGCAAGUCGAACGAAGUGGCGAACGGGUGAGUAACGCGUAAUCAACCUGCCCUUCAGAGGGGGACAACAGUUGGAAACGACUGCUAAUACCCAAUACUGAAGCAGGGGAUUGCGUUUGAUUAGCUGGUUGGGGGGGUAACGGCCCACCAAGGCGAUGAUCAGUCGCCGGGCUGGGAGGAGGAACGGCAAAAAUGGGACUGGGACACGGCCCAGACCCCUACGGGAGGGAGCAGGGGGGAAUCUUCCGAAAUGGAAGAAAGUCUUACGGAGCAACGCCGCGUGAGUGAGGACGGCCUUCGGGUUGGAAAGCUCUGUUAAUCGGGACGCGGUACCGGAAUAGAAAGCCACGGCUAACUACGUGCCAGCAGCCGCGGUAAUUC